rnacentral:rRNA from 1 species
GAUGAACGCUGGCGGCGUGCCUAAUACAUGCAAGUCGAGCGAACAGACGAGGAGCUUGCUCCUCUGACGUUAGCGGCGGACGGGUGAGUAACACGUGGAUAACCUACUUAUAAGACUGGGAUAACUUCGGGAAACCGGAGCUAAUACCGGAUAAUAUAUUGAACCGCAUGGUUCAAUAGUGAAAGACGGUUUUGCUGUCACUUAGAGAUGGAUCCGCGCCGCAUUAGCUAGUUGGUAAGGUAACGGCUUACCAAGGCGACGAUGCGUAGCCGACCUGAGAGGGUGAUCGGCCACACUGGAACUGAGACACGGUCCAGACUCCUACGGGAGGCAGCAGUAGGGAAUCUUCCGCAAUGGGCGAAAGCCUGACGGAGCAACGCCGCGUGAGUGAUGAAGGUCUUCGGAUCGUAAAACUCUGUUAUUAGGGAAGAACAAAUGUGUAAGUAACUAUGCACGUCUUGACGGUACCUAAUCAGAAAGCCACGGCUAACUACGUG